rnacentral:rRNA from 1 species
AGGACGAGCGCUGGCGGCGUGCUUAACACAUGCAAGUGGAGCGACGAACCAGGGCUUGCCCUGGGGCAGAGCCGCGAACGGGUGAGUAACACGUGGGUUACCUGCCUCGAUGACCGGGACAACCCGAGGAAACUCGGGCUAAUACCGGAUGUGCCCGCAAGGGGAAAGGAAGCUUCGGCCUCCGCAUCGAGAUGGGCCCGCGGCCCAUUAGCUUGUUGGUGAGGUAACGGCUCACCAAGGCUUCGAUGGGUAGCUGGUCUGAGAGGACGAUCAGCCACACUGGGACUGAGACACGGCCCAGACUCCUACGGGAGGCAGCAGUGGGGAAUCUUGCGCAAUGCGCGAAAGCGUGACGCAGCAACGCCGCGUGGGGGAAGAAGGCUUUCGGGUUGUAAACCCCUUUCAGUUGGGACGAAGCUUCUCCGGUGAAUAGCCGGAUGGAGUGACGGUACCUUCACAAGAAGCACCGGCUAACUACGUGCCAGCAGCCGC